UACGUAGGUGGUGGAGCGUUGUCCGGAUUUAUUGGGUUUAAAGGGUGCGUAGGCGGCUUUGUAAGUCAGUGGUGAAAUACUCUAGCUUAACUAGAGGGGUGCCAUUGAUACUGCGGAGCUUGAGUACAGAUGAGGUAGGCGGAAUUGACGGUGUAGCGGUGAAAUGCAUAGAUAUCGUCAAGAACACCGAUAGCGAAGGCAGCUUACUGGGCUGUAACUGACGCUGAGGCACGAAAGUGUGGGGGAGCAAACAGG
rnacentral:rRNA from 1 species